CCUACGUGUGGCAGCAGUAGGGAAUUUUCGUCAAUGGGCGCAAGCCUGAACGAGCAAUGCCGCGUGAACGAGGAAGGUCUUCGGAUCGUAAAGUUCUGUUGAAGGGGAAAAAGAGUGGAUAGAGGAAAUGGUCUCCGAUUGAUAUUACCCUUCGAGGAAGUCACGGCUAACUACGUGCCAGCAGCCGCGGUAAUACGUAGGUGGCGAGCGUUAUCCGGAAUUAUUGGGCGUAAAGGGUGCGUAGGCGGCCUGCUAAGUCUGGAGUAAAAGGUACCGGUUCAACCGGUACAGGCUUUGGAAACUGGCGAGCUAGAGAGCAGGAGAGGGUAGUGGAACUCCAUGUGUAGCGGUAAAAUGCGUAGAUAUAUGGAGGAACACCAGUGGCGAAGGCGACCGCCUGGCAUGUUACUGACGCUGAGGCGCGAAAGCGUGGGGAGCAAAUAGGAUUAGAUACCCGUGUAGUC
rnacentral:rRNA from 1 species